rnacentral:rRNA from 1 species
GACGAACGCUGGCGGCGUGCUUUACACAUGCAAGUCGAACGGUGAAGCGCCUUCCUUUUUGGUGGGUGUGGAUGAGUGGCGAACGGGUGAGUAACACGUGAGUAACCUGCCCCCUUCUUCUGGAUAACCGCAUGAAAGUGUGGCUAAUACGGGAUAUUCUGGGUCUGUCGCAUGAUGGGUCUGGGAAAGAUAUUGUUUCGGUGGGGGAUGGGCUCGCGGCCUAUCAGCUUGUUGGUGGGGUGAUGGCCUACCAAGGCGGUGACGGGUAGCCGGCCUGAGAGGGUGGACGGUCACACUGGGACUGAGACACGGCCCAGACUCCUACGGGAGGCAGCAGUGGGGAAUAUUGCACAAUGGGCGCAAGCCUGAUGCAGCGACGCCGCGGGAGGGAUGGAGGCCUUCGGGUUGUGAACCUCUUUCGCCAGUGAAGCAGGCCUGCCUCGUUUGUGGGUGGGUUGACGGUAGCUGGAGAAGAAGCGCCGGCUAACUACGUG